CUCUACACUUCUAGUUUUCUGUCCAUGCUCUGAGCAUCUCUGGGACUCCGCAGGUGAUUCCAAGGACUGUGAGAUAAGGUCUUCCUCGGGUGGAAAAGAGCCUCACGGAAGGAAAAGGAGCACAAACAUCUGGCUUUCCCCCUAGUAUGCAGUCAAGGUGGAGUCAGAGUGGCAGAAGUGAGAAAAGGAAACACCCAAAUGCUCACAAGCUUGGAGUUAUGGGCAAGGGGCUGCUAGAGAAUCUGCAUAAGGGUGAAGAGCCUCUGGUCCCGCAGCAGCUGAACUGUGAGGUCUUCUUACUGAACAAGGUAAAGCUUGUGACUGGUAACAAAAGUAGAACACAACUAUGAAGGUGUAAGAAUCAGUGACAGAAGGACUUGAGAUGAUAGACAGUUACAGUGACCAUCAGGACUGGAUGGCUCUUCUCCAGGCAUGAUAAAGAAUGGAACAGCUGACUUGUUAAUAAAUAUCUACAAGUGAUCAUCUCACAUUUAUUAUGCCAUGCUGAGAUGAAACCUUAACCCUGACUCUAACUCUAGCCCUAGGAAUACCAGUUAAGUUAUAGAUAUUUUAUUUUUGCAUUAUCCUGAAGGACAGAAAUGUUGCUAACACUGAACUCAUGCUAAAGAAAUU